AUGAUUUCAUUAUGUGCUCAUUUCUUAAUUUUCUCCUACCUGUCAGACAUCCUUCGAUUUUUUUGACAUUAUUGCCCCUUCAUCUCACACAUAAAAAAGAACAAAGAAAUAAAAAGGAUAGCCAAACAGCUUAAUUAAUGUGAAUAAAUAUGGAUGUAUCACAUGGCUCUAUCAAAAGCACCUUAGUAAAAAGCAGCCCGGUGCACUAAGCUCUUGUUAUAUGCGGGUCUGGAAAAGGGCCGGACUACAAAUAUCUAUUGUACACAGUCUUACCUUGCAUUUCUGCAAAAGGGUGUUUCCACGGCUCGAACCCGUGACUUCCUCACCUGGUUUUGGAGCUGAGAUUCCAAGAAAACAAGCUGCAUGGAAAUGGUUGCUUUUCUUUAAAGCACUAAAAUUUAUCAUUUUCUUCAACUGCUGCAUUAAUUUUUCACAAGUAGUGAGAAGCUUUGACAAGUUAAAGAAAAAGGGUAUUUAAGCAUGUUUGUUCAUAGGAGGUCUAGUUCUGUAUCUGCUCGCCACUAUUCACCUAUGUCUUCCAUGCGUGUUCGGCUCGAUCGAUAAGGUAUGAAAUAGUCCACUCUCUGUUUGUUUCUUCGGUUUCUAUUAUUAAGUAGCACUUCUGCUAUUCAAUUAUAAAUCAUAGAAUCAAUUGAUUCCGAUCGUCGAGCCCGAUCCGGCCCGCUUUGUCUAAAUAUGUAAUGUUACUGCAAGUCAAUUGCCUCUCUCUUAUCAAUUAUCCUUGUGGAAGAUUCUUGAGCUAAGAAUAAUGAUCAUUCCCUUUUUCUCUUCAUUAGUGUAUGUAAUUUUUUAUGACUAUUAAGAAACAUCGCUUUAACUUUGGAUCCUUCA